UCCUGCAAGGGUUACACGCCUAAUGAACAUGUCGCGAGCGCGGCACGUGCACACGUAAGCCACAAAUCCCGUAUCCAGAGUCCAACAUCGGCAAUUAUUUUUACGAUUGACCCUAGCGUCUCUAGCAGGAGACGGCCAGGGACGGUAUUGAUGUCAUGACAAAGAGGAGAAUAAGGGAGAAGAAAGGAGAAAGGGAUGCGAAGGAAAAUGGAGUGUGCGGCGAGCUCAAAGCAUCUGUGCGGGUUCCCCAGAAAGCUGGUAUUCAUGGCAGCAGGAGCAUUCGCCAAGGCCAUCACCUGUCACCUCAACUCCACUUCCGUUCACAACCCCGAAACCCUAAUCCGUCUCGUCCGAUGCCGUCCCCCUUCGACUCCCCUCAUCACCGUCAGCAAUCACAUGUCCACGUUGGAUGAUCCACUCAUGUGGGGAUUCAGGGGUUUCCCAUCAGCAGAUGCAAGACUAGCACGGUGGGUUCUAGCAGCAGAUGACAUAUGCUUCAAAAAUACAGUUUUGUCAUACUUCUUUCGACUCGGAAAAUGCAUACCGAUUACAAGGGGUGGGGGGAUUUAUCAGGAACAUAUGAAUGAAGCUCUUGACCGCUUGAGUGAAGGUGGUUGGCAGCUGCAUACAUUUCCAGAAGGAAAAGUAUCCCAAGAGAAUGAGCCUAUUAGACGGUUAAAAUGGGGAACUGCCAGUCUUAUUGAACGAGCACCAGUAACUCCAGUAGUUUUGCCUAUCGUUCAUUGUGGUUUUGAAAAGGUGAUGCCUGAGAAAUCUUUCUUUGGCAGAAGGCCGCCACUCCCUCUUUGCAAGAAGGAUAUCAGAAUUAUCAUCGGAGAGCCAAUAGAAUUUGACCUUCCAAGAUUAAGGCAGGCAGCAAAAUCCCUGUCUCGAGAAAUGUCUUACCCAAGUGUUGGAUGGCCCACCAAUUCCCAUGGACUCGAUGAGGCAGCACAGAGGUGGCUAUACACCAACAUCUCGGAUCAGAUCGGAACUGUCAUGGAGAGCUUGCGUAUCACCCUUAAGAAAUUCAAGGUAUGAACUGAUGGACCAUUGAGGGAAUAUAUGAUGCAGCCAUUAUGAAGAUAAAAUGGAACUUUGGUGUUAAACAAUUUUGACUCAUGCUUAGUGAGUCUAAAGUAUUGAUUCAGCAGCGACUGCAACUUUAGCUUGUAUCCAGAUAAGGAUGCGCUGGUAUCAUUUCUUCAGGAAUUAUUUUAAACCUGAGGAGCAAACCCAAAUGGAUGGGACAAGGCUAUGAUGAUGAUCUGAGUAUUUUAUCAGCAGCGUCAAGCAUCGUGUUGUGCCUUGUCCCAACUACUGAAGGCAUUUACUUGCACAGUAAAGAUGCUGUCCUGGUCUUUAUCUCUUGUAAACAUUGUAACUUGAUUAGAAACAGGCAUGUGUUGGCAUUGGGCA